UACGAAGGGGGCUAGCGUUGUUCGGAAUUACUGGGCGUAAAGCGCACGUAGGCGGACAUUUAAGUCAGGGGUGAAAUCCCAGAGCUCAACUCUGGAACUGCCUUUGAUACUGGGUGUCUUGAGUAUGGAAGAGGUGAGUGGAAUUCCGAGUGUAGAGGUGAAAUUCGUAGAUAUUGGGAAGAACACCAGUGGCGAAGGCGGCUAACUGGUCCAGCACUGACGCUGAGGUGCGAAAGCGUGGGGAGCAAACAGG
rnacentral:rRNA from 1 species